GAUGAACGCUAGCUACAGGCUUAACACAUGCAAGUCGAGGGGCAGCAUGAUUGAAGCUUGCUUCAAUCGAUGGCGACCGGCGCACGGGUGAGUAACACGUAUCCAACCUGCCGAUAACUCGGGGAUAGCCUUUCGAAAGAAAGAUUAAUACCCGAUAGUAUAGUAUUUCCGCAUGGUUUCACUAUUAAAGAACUUCGGUUAUCGAUGGGGAUGCGUUCCAUUAGAUAGUUGGCGGGGUAACGGCCCACCAAGUCAACGAUGGAUAGGGGGUCUGAGAGGAAGGUCCCCCACAUUGGAACUGAGACACGGUCCAAACUCCUACGGGAGGCAGCAGUGAGGAAUAUUGGUCAAUGGACGAGAGUCUGAACCAGCCAAGUAGCGUGAAGGAUGACUGCCCUAUGGGUUGUAAACUUCUUUUAUACGGGAAUAAAGUGGAGUAUGCAUACUCCUUUGUAUGUACCGUAUGAAUAAGGAUCGGCUAACUCCGUG
rnacentral:rRNA from 1 species